UGAUUACUGAGCAUGCUUUGGUCAAGUGUUUCCUGGUGACUUUUCAGAAAAGGAGACAAGAGGGGAAAGGAAGAUGGAUUGAUAAUGGAUUCAGUGAGAAAACAUGAAGAAGAAAGAAUAGAAUACAAAGAAUCAUGGAAAUCUUCCCAUGCAGAGGUGAACACAGCUAACGUUGUAGAACCCUACAGUUUACUCAGAUUAUACAGUGUUUGAUGUGGAGGAGACACAUGGCUGAAAAGGGAACUUUAUCCUGGACAACCACCUGUUGGAAACUUCAUCUUGAAGAUCCCAGAAUAACAAGAUAGAAGGGGCCUCGGUCCCUGGUGGAUAUGGCAG
rnacentral:lncRNA from 1 species